UUCAAUGGCGGGCGGUGCGUGGGGGUCUUCGGACCCACCGGCUUGGUUACUGUCCGGCUUUCGAACCACGCAUCGUCCGCCGCCUUU
rfam:Stenotrophomonas maltophilia SKK35, WGS project CALN01000000 data, contig: 658